GAUGAACGCUGACAGCAUGCUUAACACAUCAGCAACUGAUUGGCGGCGGACGGGCGAGUAACGCGUAAAGAACUUGCCUCACUGGUAGGGACAACAUUUGGAAACGAAUGCUAAUAACUAAUACUGUGAGAGAGCUUUGCGUCCCAUUAGCUAGUUGGUGAGGUAAUGGCUCACCAAGGCGAGGAUGGGUAGCCGGCCUGGGAGGGUGAUCGGCCACAGGGGGACUGGGUCACGACCCGUACUCCAACGGGAGGAAGCGGUGGGAAAUAUUGGACAAAGGACCAAAGUCUGAUGCAGCAAUUCGGUGUGGAAGAUGAAGUUGUCGGAAUGUAAAGUGCUUUCAGUUGAGAAGCGGUACCAACAGAAGAAGUAACGGCUAAAUACGUGCCAGCAGCCGCGGUAAUAC
rnacentral:rRNA from 1 species